rnacentral:rRNA from 1 species
AGAGUUUGAUCAUGGCUCAGGACGAACGCUGGCGGCGUGCCUAAUACAUGCAAGUUGAGCGCUGAAGGUUGGUACUUGUACCAACUGGAUGAGCAGCGAACGGGUGAGUAACGCGUGGGGAAUCUGCCUUUGAGCGGGGGACAACAUUUGGAAACGAAUGCUAAUACCGCAUAAAAACUUUAAACACAAGUUUUAAGUUUGAAAGAUGCAAUUGCAUCACUCAAAGAUGAUCCCGCGUUGUAUUAGCUAGUUGGUGAGGUAAAGGCUCACCAAGGCGAUGAUACAUAGCCGACCUGAGAGGGUGAUCGGCCACAUUGGGACUGAGACACGGCCCAAACUCCUACGGGAGGCAGCAGUAGGGAAUCUUCGGCAAUGGACGAAAGUCUGACCGAGCAACGCCGCGUGAGUGAAGAAGGUUUUCGGAUCGUAAAACUCUGUUGGUAGAGAAGAACGUUGGUGAGAGUGGAAAGCUCAUCAAGUGACGGUAACUACCCAGAAAGGGACGGCUAACUACGUGCCAGCAGCCGCGGUAAUACGUAGGUCCCGAGCGUUGUCCGGAUUUAUUGGGCGUAAAGCGAGCGCAGGUGGUUUAUUAAGUCUGGUGUAAAAGGCAGUGGCUCAACCAUUGUAUGCAUUGGAAACUGGUAGACUUGAGUGCAGGAGAGGGGAGUGGAAUUCCAUGUGUAGCGGUGAAAUGCGUAGAUAUAUGGAGGAACACCGGUGGCGAAAGCGGCUCUCUGGCCUGUAACUGACACUGAGGCUCGAAAGCGUGGGGAGCAAACAGGAUUAGAUACCCUGGUAGUCC